rnacentral:rRNA from 1 species
UACAGAGGUCUCGAGCGUUAGGCGGAAUCACUGGGCUUAAAGCGUGUGUAGGUGGAUGCCUAAGUACCUUGUGAAAUCCCACGGCUUAACCGUGGAACUGCUUGGUAUACUGGGUGUCUUGAGUCACUCAGGGGCGAGCGGAACAAAUGGUGGAGCGGUGAAAUGCGUAGAUAUCAUGUGGAACGCCAACGGUGAAAACAGCUCGCUGGGGGUGCACUGACACUGAGACACGAAAGCCAGGGGAGCGAACGGG